rnacentral:rRNA from 1 species
UACGUAGGUGACAAGCGUUGUCCGGAUUUACUGGGCGUAAAGGGCGCGUAGGCGGCCUGUUAAGUCGAACGUGAAAUCCCCGGGCUCAACCCGGGAACUGCGUCCGAUACUGGCAGGCUUGAAUCCGGGAGAGGGAUGCGGAAUUCCAGGUGUAGCGGUGAAAUGCGUAGAUAUCUGGAGGAACACCGGUGGCGAAGGCGGCAUCCUGGACCGGCAUUGACGCUGAGGCGCGAAAGCCAGGGGAGCAAACGGG